GAUGAAGAACGUAGCGAAACGCGAUACGUAAUGUGAAUUGCAAAUUCAGUGAAUCAUCGAGUCUUUGAACGCACAUUGCGCCCCCUGGUAUUCCGGGGGGCAUGCCUGUCCGAGCGUCAUUGCUGCCCUCAAGCACGGCUUGUGUGUUGGGCCCCGUCCUCCGAUCCCGGGGGACGGGCCCGAAAGGCAGCGGCGGCACCGCGUCCGGUCCUCGAGCGUAUGGGGCUUUGUCACCCGCUCUGUAGGCCCGGCCGGCGCUUGCCGAUCAACCCAAAUUUUUAUCCAGGUUGACCUCGGAUCAGGUAGGGAUACCCGCUGAACUUAAGCAUAUCAAUAAGCGGAGGA
rnacentral:misc_RNA from 1 species